UACGGGGGGGGCAAGCGUUGUUCGGAAUUACUGGGCGUAAAGCGCACGUAGGCGGAUCUUUAAGUCGGGGGUGAAAUCCUGGAGCUCAACUCCAGAACUGCCUUCGAUACUGAAGAUCUCGAGUCCGGGAGAGGUGAGUGGAACUGCGAGUGUAGAGGUGAAAUUCGUAGAUAUUCGCAAGAACACCAGUGGCGAAGGCGGCUCACUGGCCCGGUACUGACGCUGAGGUGCGAAAGCGUGGGGAGCAAACAGG
rnacentral:rRNA from 1 species